AUUCUACUCCCUCCGUUGCACAAUACAUGCCUUCUAUUUAUCAAAUAUAUAUAUAUAUAUAUCUAGACAUGUCUUAGUAUAUAGGUACAUCCAUUUUUGGACAAAUGGAAGUCAAGUAUUUUGGAACGGAGGGAGUACACA
rnacentral:pre_miRNA from 1 species